GAUUAUGGCUCAGGAUGAACGCUAGCUACAGGCUUAACACAUGCAAGUCGAGGGGAAACGAUAUUGAAAGCUUGCUUCUUUAGGCGUCGACCGGCGAAUGGGUGAGUAACGCGUAUCCAACCUGCCCCUGAGUAAGGGAUAGCCCAUCGAAAGAUGGAUUAAUACCUUAUGGUUUCCUUUGAAGGCAUCAGAUUAGGAAUAAAGAUUUAUCGCUGAGGGAUGGGGAUGCGUCUGAUUAGCUUGUUGGCGGGGUAACGGCCCACCAAGGCGACGAUCAGUAGGGGUUCUGAGAGGAAGGUCCCCCACAUUGGUACUGAGACACGGACCAAACUCCUACGGGAGGCAGCAGUGAGGAAUAUUGGUCAAUGGGCGCAAGCCUGAACCAGCCAAGUAGCGUGCAGGGAAUGACUGCCCUAUGGGUUGUAAACUGCUUUUAUACGGGGAUAAAGUCAGAGUCGUGACUCUGUUUGCAGGUACCGUAUGAAUAAGGACCGGCUAAUUCCGUGCCAGCCGCUGC
rnacentral:rRNA from 1 species